AUCUCUUGUGGCACAAGGGGUCAGUGUAUCUGGCUCUUAUCCAGAAAGUAGGUGGUUCAAGCCUACCCAGGGACG